AACGAACGCUGGCGGCAUGCCUAACACAUGCAAGUCGAACGAAGUCUUCGGACUUAGUGGCGCACGGGUGCGUAACGCGUGGGAAUCUGCCCUUGGGUGCGGAAUAACUUCUCGAAAGGGAUGCUAAUACCGCAUAAUGUCGUAAGACCAAAGAUUUAUCGCCCAAGGAUGAGCCCGCGUAAGAUUAGCUAGUUGGUGGGGUAAAAGCCUACCAAGGCGACGAUCUUUAGCUGGUCUGAGAGGAUGAUCAGCCACACUGGGACUGAGACACGGCCCAGACUCCUACGGGAGGCAGCAAUGGGGAAUAUUGGACAAUGGGCGAAAGCCUGAUCCAGCAAUGCCGCGUGAGUGAUGAAGGCCUUAGGGUUGUAAAGCUCUUUUACCCGGGAUGAUAAUGACAGUACCGGGAGAAUAAGCUCCGGCUAACUCCGUGCCAGCAGCCGCGGUAAU
rnacentral:rRNA from 1 species